CACCCUCGUAGCUAAAACGCUUA
rnacentral:tRNA from 1 species